rnacentral:rRNA from 1 species
UAGUCCACGCUGUAAACGAUGAUCACUAGUUGUUGGCGAUAUACUGUCAGUGACUGAGCGAAAGUAUUAAGUGAUCCACCUGGGGAGUACGAUCGCAAGGUUGAAACUCAAAGGAAUUGACGGGGGCCCGCACAAGCGGAGGAGCAUGUGGUUUAAUUCGAUGAUACGCGAGGAACCUUACCUAGGCUUAAAUGCAAGGACGACGUUCCGUGAAAACGGAAUUUCUUCGGACGUCCUGCAAGGUGCUGCAUGGUUGUCGUCAGCUCGUGCCGUGAGGUGUCGGGUUAAGUCCCAUAACGAGCGCAACCCCUAUUCUUAGUUGCCAUCAGGUCAUGCUGGGGACUCUAAGAAAACUGCCUACGCAAGUAGUGAGGAAGGUGGGGAUGACGUCAAAUCAGCACGGCCCUUAUGCCUAGGGCUACGACACGUGCUACAAUGGUCGGUACAGAGGGCAGCUACCUGGCAACAGGAUGCGAAUCUCGAAAACCGAUCUCAGUUCGGAUCG